UUACAUGUCUUUUUUCAUUACUGGGCAUCAGAACUCAGUGGUGAGGUCUGCCUCUCAGAGAAUUCUCCUGAGACUCAAGUGUGGCUGUGACCAUUUAUUGAUGGACAUUUUUUGAAACGCCAAUGUGCGAAAGUGUCUGUUUCUUUUCUUUAAAAGAAACAAUUUUUGGAAAGUCAAGUCCACAUCAUUGCCUCCUCCACCCCCAAUGUGGAGUCUUCUAAUGUGACUGGCUCUUCAGCUGGACAAGAAAACAACAACAACAACAACAACCUGGGCUUCCAGCAGAAUUAAUUAGAUCUCCAACAUCAAAGGUACCAGGGUGUAUGGAGCUCUUUCUCCCAGAACUGUAGCUCAGACAAAUAUUUUCUGGGUAAGUGGCUUUGCUUGAUUGCAAAGGUUAGUAUGCAUCUGGACUAAACUGGAGGGCGACGGAGGUGUACACAAGCCAGAAGAAAAUGCUCGUCCUUCCUAGGGGUUCAGGCCGCUCCAUGUCAUUGUUAUGUAAGCAUCAGCUGGCGUCACUCUCCCUGCAUCAGCAGGCAGGCAGCUUGCCACCCUCUGCUGUGACCAUAUCUUGACCACCCUCGCCCCCAGGGACAGGUGCUCUUCAUUCGCUGCUACCAUGUGGGAACAGCCAUGACUAACGCAGAAUCUUGUUUAAAAAGAGCAUUUACAUUUUUCCCUAUAAACCUUAAGCUUCAUUUCCCACUGCCUGUUGAGGCUUUCUGCGCUAGUGAAACGACAGGAAGAGGUGUAUACUGAACAUAAAUUCAUACAAAAAAGUGUGCAUAGCAUAGAUGUGAAGCCCUGUGAAUUGUCCCAACAAACCCAGGCACAGCCAUAACAAGCAGCAAGACCCCCCGCCCCCGACACACACACGCUUUAACUCACCUGAAGGGUAAGUGAAGGGAAUUCAUUAUCCUGACUUCACCAUCCCAGGUUAGUGUUGGCCAACAGGGAGACCUUUAAAGUCCUGGAUAUGCCUUAACAGGGGCAGUGUACAAUUUAACCCCUAGGGCAAGCGAGUGGGAGAAUCCAUGACCUUACACUCCGGCUCUGGCUUGAAUGGGACCUUCAGGGUGGGAGAACGACUUUGGUGUCCGAAAAUCCACCUCUGGAACCACGCGAGAGUAGAGCAGAGUAAUGUUUCCGGUGCAUCCUGUGGGCCUGCUCCCUCCUGCUCGGUGUCCUUAUCCGGGAGGCUGUCCGAGAAGAAGCUGGUGACUUGACCAUGGACUUUCCAGGCCCUGUGACAGUGGACCUUUGACACACCUGGCCCCAGCCACACCUGCAACAGAUAUUUUUAACAAGCCAGUGCCAGGAAAUGCUUUUCCUUCUGAGCCAAAAGAAAGAAGACAGAUCUACUGAGAGCCUUUGAUUAACUAACUGAGAGAAAAUUCACUCACUUGCUGUCUGGGCAGAACCUGGAACUUGCCUGCUGAGAGUCAAGGUCAAGCCAGCUCAUGGAAGUUAUCACGUGGAUGCCCCUGGGAGCCUCCAACCAGACAAGUGCCAUCUCCCUUCUGGAUUAUCCCCUGGCAGAGAGAAACAGCACCAACUCCACAAGGGCUCUGUGGCUGCUGGAGGGGAUGAGUGCAGUCUGGUACAUCCUCACUAUCAUCGGCUUCUUUGGGGUGAUUUUUCUCUUCCAGUUGGCCAGCAACAUCCUCAGGAAGAAUGAUAAGUCCUUGGAAGAUAUUUACUAUUCCAAUUUGACCUUUGAACUCAAAAAGAAAGGACUCCAGAGCAAGAUGGCCAAGUGCUCCUCACUGAUCAUUAGCAACACAGCUGUCCUGCAGCCUAGCCAGGCCAGCCUGGUGUCCAAGUGCGGAAACAGUGGGCCCCAAACCGGAGCCCAGGGUAUUCCUUGAAAGUCAAGCCAGCAGAUCUCCAGUGGGAGGCUCCAACCUUUUUUCCAGUAGGUGCAGCUUUGGGUUUCCUGGAACCUGGAGAGAGGAGUUGAGCCCUUGAAUGGGACAGAUAGAGGAUCACCACGGUAUGGGCACUUCUGGCUGAUGGGCAUGUGGCCCGACACCAGUAGUCUGUAUCCCUGUGAGACUUUCUGAUGCUUUAGGGUGGGGGCAGCAGAAGCCAUACUUGCCCUUCCCUAGCAAACUCUGUGCUCUAGGAUACUCCAAGAAUCUAGGAUACUCCAAGGAAACAGGUGGUUUCUUGUCAUGGAAAGAAGGCUGAUUUGGAGUGAAAUGCUCUAGGUUAAAAUUCAACUUCUAGAGACAAGUCACAUAAAGUUUGAGUGGCUGGUUGCUCACCUGGAACUUGUAGAAGUUGGGAUAGAUGGAACCAAAGGGCCAUUUCCUUUUAAAUACUGACUCCAUUGAAUUCAGAACCACAGUUGUUUAUAUUAGAAGUUACAGAUUCUUCAUUUUCAUUGUGUGACUGGAGUGCAUUGGGAAAUACACUUAUUUUGGACUCAGAAGGUCUGGACUCUACUUUGGACUUGAUUAUCACUGCUUUCGUGUCUGUGUACACACCACACCACCUCCCUGGAAUGUAGUUUACAGACAAAAUGAAGAGAGUAAUGCCACAUUGGCUAGCCUUACCCAGUAGAUAAGAUCUGAUGAGAUUAUGUGUGUGAGUGCGUUCUGCAAAGCAAGUAUAUAAAUAUAAGUGUUGCAGUGAGGGUGAUGUUGUGACAGUGAUAACUGAUGCUGAUGCUGGUGGUGUUGGCAGUGGUUUUGGUGGCUGAUGGUAGAUCUGAGUCAUGGUGGUGGAUGGAGGUUGAGGAGAAUGGAGGCGUGGCAUGGUGAUUCAUGUUGGUGGUGGUGGUGGUGGAGUGAUGCUGUUGUAGAUCAGGAAAUGACUCAUCCAUUAGCAAUCAGUCCUUAAACCAUGGCUAUAUUGCUUUGUUCUGUAGGAGAACCCAUCUGGGUAUCUGUUGAUGACCCAUACUGUGAGUUUGUAACCACCAAGGCAAAAUAGAUCUUUAAGAGUUAGAAUUUUUUCUUUGAGAGUCAAGCUGUUUCUCCAAAUUUCCUUAGUCCUUUCUUUCAACCCUCCUUCCUCAGCCCAGAUGAAUGGAUAGAAUUCGUAGAUGUUGACUCCAGGUGGCCAGAGUCCACUUUCUUUUUCACAGGGAAGGAAAGGAGCAGGACAAGGCCAGAAGAAAUGAAGCAUGCUUGGGAUUGUCUGUGGUCUCAUUGCAUCCCUCCCAUCUCUACUCCUUACUAUAAAAGGCCCUUGCACACCUGACACGGUGAAAUGAGGAUUUGUGGCAGUAUAAGGC